rnacentral:misc_RNA from 1 species
GUUUUUCUGUUCUAUUUGCCUUUAUUGUUGUCUCUUUGCAUGACAAUUAAAUAUGAUAAAGUUCAGCAAUCUGAUAAUUUUGCCAUUGCUUAUAUAUCGUACUGCUUUUUGAUAAAUAAAAUCCCACAUUUUCUUGCACGUGUGCUUGUUAUAAAAUGUCAUCAACUUCUUUCUUUUGAAAUGGUUGACUAGUAACUAAUGGAUCAUUUUUGUAUAGUGAUUCACGUAAACAACUAGGUAAAUAUGGGUAGUUUCUGUGGUUAUUUUGUUUAAAACAAAGUAAAAAUUACUUCACAAAAAAAUUUAAAUUUCAUAAAUUUUUUGUGUUUUAUCUCAUAAUUUUCUGUAAAGUGGAGUGUUAGGAUCUGAACCCUAACUGGCAGUUACAGAAGAAAUAGACUUGAGAUAGAAAAGAGAAUUAGAAAAAAUAGACUCAAGAAUAGAAGAGAAAGAGAUAAAGAGAUUGAGAAGAAGAAAAUGAUUCUUGAUAUUACUUGAAUGAAUGAUCUCUAACUGCUGUACAACUGUAUUUAUACCAAUUCUACUAAUCUGUUAUCUUCUAACACGCACUACUAUUCUGUUGUCUUCUAACAUACACUUCCCGCUUAUCUUCCCUCCAAAACCAACUAACUCAA